rnacentral:rRNA from 1 species
CCCAGUUCGGAUUGCAGUCUGCAACUCGAGUGCAUGAAGCUGGAAUCACUAGUAAUCGCGAAUCAGAAUGUCGCGGUGAAUACGUUCCCGGGUCUUGUACACACCGCCCGUCACACCAUGGGAGUCGGGAAUGCCCGAAGCCGGUGACCCAACCUUAAGGAGGGAGCCGUCGAAGGCAGGCCUGGUAACUGGGGUGAAGUCGUAACAAGGUAUC